rnacentral:rRNA from 1 species
AUACGGAGGGGGCAAGCGUUGUUCGGAAUUACAGGGCGUAAAGGGCGCGCAGGCGGUUUUGUUAGUCAGGCGUGAAAUCCCCGGGCUUAACCUGGGAAUUGCGUUUGAUACUGCAAAACUAGAGUUCGGGAGAGGGUAGUGGAAUUCCCAGUGUAGAGGUGAAAUUCGUAGAUAUUGGGAAGAACACCAGUGGCGAAGGCGGCUACCUGGACCGAUACUGACGCUGAGGCGCGAAAGCGUGGGGAGCAAACAGGAUUAGAAACCCCAGUAGUCC